rnacentral:rRNA from 1 species
GACGAACGCUGGCGGCGUGCCUAAUACAUGCAAGUCGAACGAGAGCGACCGGUGCUUGCACUGGUCAAUCUAGUGGCGAACGGGUGAGUAACACGUGGGUAACCUGCCCAUCAGAGGGGGAUAACAUUCGGAAGCGGAUGCUAAAACCGCAUAGGUCUUCGAACCGCAUGGUUUGAAGAGGAAAAGAGGCGCAAGCUUCUGCUGAUGGAUGGACCCGCGGUGCAUUAGCUAGUUGGUGAGGUAACGGCUCACCAAGGCCGUGAUGCAUAGCCGACCUGAGAGGGUGAUCGGCCACAUUGGGACUGAGACACGGCCCAAACUCCUACGGGAGGCAGCAGUAGGGAAUCUUCCGCAAUGGACGCAAGUCUGACGGAGCAACGCCGCGUGAGUGAAGAAGGUUUUCGGAUCGUAAAAUUCUGUUGUUAGAGAAGAACAAGUGCUAGAGUAACUGUUAGCGCCUUGACGGUAUCUAACCAGAAAGCCACGGCUAACUACGUGCCAGCAGCCGCGGUAAUACGUAGGUGGCAAGCGUUGUCCGGAUUUAUUGGGCGUAAAGCGAGCGCAGGCGGUUCCUUAAGUCUGAUGUGAAAGCCCCCGGCUCAACCGGGGAGGGUCAUUGGAAACUGGGGAACUUGAGUGCAGAAGAGGAGAGUGGAAUUCCAUGUGUAGCGGUGAAAUGCGUAGAUAUAUGGAGGAACACCAGUGGCGAAGGCGACUCUCUGGUCUGUAACUGACGCUGAGGCUCGAAAGCGUGGGUAGCAAACAGG